ensembl:lncRNA
GGAAGAUCAUGGCUGCUCCAGUGUAUCUGGGUGAGGGUUCGCAGGUUCGUGGUGGAGAUCCAUACUUCACAGAGAUCAUCAGCAAGAGGAUGCGAGUACCAGAUCGCCUGAGUGUCGGCCAUGGAAUCCUGGCUGAGGAACAGAGGCCUGAGGAUCUACUUCCUGUCUACAGCAUGCAUGUACCAGACAGACUGGCCUUAACAGAUGCUCCUGACCUCAGUCCACGGCCACUGUUCUCCAAGCAAAGUGCCUCGUCAAUGUGGGAUCUGCAGCGUGGAACGUGGGGUAAGGAGGCAUACACGCGAGAGCCCGUUCAGAGUCCGCUACGCAGAUCGUAUAGUGACCAGACAUUCGGUAGAACCCCACCUGGAACCCCCACACACUCCAAACAAGCACUACAUUCUCCUUCUAUCACUGUGCAGGAGUCCUGGCUCAGUCCUGAAGAAGAGACGGGAACUGCAGUUGAGUUCAUCGUGCUUCGCAGACAGGUCAGUUCAUACAGCUUUACUUAGACUGUUCUGAUCAUCACUGUCUCACAAAAACCUUGUAUCUGAUUAAAGU